rnacentral:piRNA from 1 species
GACCUGAAGUCUCUGGUGGACUGC